GGCGCUAUAGCCAAGUGGUUACGGCGACAGAUUCGAAUAUCCUCAAAGUUUCUUAUCUGUUCCUCUUUGAGGGCGCAGGUUCAAAUCCUGCUGGCGUCG